rnacentral:rRNA from 1 species
CCUACGGGUGGCAGCAGUGGGGAAUUUUGCGCAAUGCUCGUAAGAGUGACGCAGCGACGCCGCGUGAAUGACGAAGGCCUUCGGGUCGUAAAGUUCUUUCGACAGGGGAGAAAAUGCCUAUAAGUAACUGUGUAUGUAUUGACGGUACCUGUAUAAGCAGCCCCGGCUAACUCCGUGCCAGCAGCCGCGGUAAUACGGAGGGGGCUAGCGGUGUUCGGAGGGACUGGGCGUAAAGAGCACGUAGGCGGUGUUGUAAGUCAUUAGUCAAAGAAGAGAGCUAAAAUUUAGUAAGGCUAGUGAUACUAGCAUACUAGAGUAUGAGAGAGGAGUGCAGAAUGCCUGGUGUAGCGGUGAAAUGCGUAGAUAUCAGGAGGAAUACCGUUAGCGAAGGCGGCAAUCUGGCUGGAAACUGACGCUGAGGUGCGAAAGCGUGGGUAGCAAACAGGAUUAGAUACCCGAGUAGUC